rnacentral:rRNA from 1 species
CCUACGGGAGGCAGCAGUGGGGAAUAUUGCGCAAUGGGCGAAAGCCUGACGCAGCGACGCCGCGUGAGGGAUGAAGGUCUUCGGAUCGUAAACCUCUGUCAGCAGGGAAGAACGGUCACUGUGCUAAUCAGCAGUGAAUUGACGGUACCUGCAAAGGAAGCACCGGCUAACUCCGUGCCAGCAGCCGCGGUAAUACGGAGGGUGCGAGCGUUAAUCGGAAUUACUGGGCGUAAAGCGAUCGUAGGCGGUAUGUCAAGUCAAGUGUGAAAGCCCCGCGCUCAACGUGGGAACUGCCUUUGAAACUGGCAAACUGGAGUGUGUGAGAGGAUAGUGGAAGUCCAGGUGUAGGAGUGAAAUCCGUAGAUAUCUGGAGGAACAUCAGUGGCGAAGGCGACUAUCUGGCACAUAACUGACGCUGAGUAGCGAAAGCGUGGGUAGCAAACAGGAUUAGAUACCCUAGUAGUC